rnacentral:rRNA from 1 species
AUCAACGCUGGCGGCGUGCCUCAGACAUGCAAGUCGAACGAGAACCUCCCUUCGGGGAGGAGACAGUGGCGCACGGGUGAGUAACACGUGGGUAAUUUACCUUUGGGUGGGGAACAACAGCCGGAAACGGCUGCUAAUACCGCAUAAUGCAGCGGCUCGACAUCGAGACAGUUGUUAGAGCGGGGGAUCGCAAGACCUCGCGCCUGAAGAGAAGCCUGCGGCGGAUAGCUAGUUGGUAGGGUAAUGGCCUACCAAGGCGACGAUCUGUAACCGGCCUGAGAGGGCGGUCGGUCACACUGACACUGACAUACGGGUCAGACUCCUACGGGAGGCAGCAGUCGGGAAUUUUGGGCAAUGGGCGAAAGCCUGACCCAGCAACGCCGCGUGAAGGAUGAAGC